GUCCACGCCCUAAACGAUGCUUACUUGCUGUAUGAUAGUAAUAUUAUGUGGCGUAGGGAAACCGUUAAGUAAGCCACCUGGGGAGUACGCCCGCAAGGGUGAAACUCAAAGGAAUUGACGGGGUCGCACAAGCGGUGGAGCAUGUGGUUUAAUUCGAUGAUACGCGAGGAACCUUACCAAGGUUAGAAUGUGAGCGACGACUGGUGAAAGCUGGUUUCCUUCGGGCGGCGAAACAAGGUGCUGCAUGGCUGUCGU
rnacentral:rRNA from 1 species